GCUGACACAUCCCUGCCAAUCUCCGGCAGACCCUCCCUCCCAGACCCUCCUACUUCCUGGACAGCAUCCAUGUUGCAGACCCUCCCUCCCAGACCCUCCUACUUCCUGGACAACAUGGAUGCUGUCCAGGAAGUAGGAGGGUCUGGGAGGGAGGGUCUGCUGGAGAUUGGCAGGGAUGUGUCAG